rnacentral:rRNA from 1 species
CAUCGCCACGGUAAUACGGAGGGAGCUAGCGUUGUUCGGAAUUACUGGGCGUAAAGCGCGCGUAGGCGGUUACUCAAGUCAGAGGUGAAAGCCCGGGGCUCAACCCCGGAACUGCCUUUGAAACUAGGUGACUAGAAUCUUGGAGAGGUCAGUGGAAUUCCGAGUGUAGAGGUGAAAUUCGUAGAUAUUCGGAAGAACACCAGUGGCGAAGGCGACUGACUGGACAAGUAUUGACGCUGAGGUGCGAAAGCGUGGGGAGCAAACAGGAUUAGAUACCCCAGUAGUCCCUGUCUCUUAUACC